rnacentral:rRNA from 1 species
GAAGCUCCCAAGGGUUUGGCUGUUCGCCAAUGAAAGCGGUACGUGAGCUGGGUUCAGACCGUCGUGAGACAGGUCGGUCCCUAUCUACCGUGGGCGUACGAAACUUGAAGAGGAUCAACUUUAGUACGAGAGGAUUUAGUUGGACGUAGCUCUGGUGUACCAGUUGUCACGCUAGUGGCACGGCUGGAUAGCUAACUACGGAAAGGAUAAACGCUGAAAGCAUCUAAGCGUGAAGCCCUCUCUAAGAUUAGGUUUCGUAGCUUUUAAGCGAAAGUCCCCUGAUAGACGAUCAGGUUAAUAGGCCAGAUGUGUAAGCACCGUAAGGUGUUCAGCUUACUGGUACUAACGGACGAAAGCUUGAUCAU